GAUGAACGCUGGCGGCGUGCCUAAUACAUGCAAGUCGAGCGAACGGACGAGAAGCUUGCUUCUCUGAUGUUAGCGGCGGACGGGUGAGUAACACGUGGAUAACCUACCUAUAAGACUGGGAUAACUUCGGGAAACCGGAGCUAAUACCGGAUAAUAUUUUGAACCGCAUGGUUCAAAAGUGAAAGACGGUCUUGCUGUCACUUAUAGAUGGAUCCGCGCUGCAUUAGCUAGUUGGUAAGGUAACGGCUUACCAAGGCAACGAUGCAUAGCCGACCGGAGAGGGGGAUCGGCCACACUGGAACGGGGACACGGUCAAGACUCCUACGGGAGGCAGCAGUAGGGAAUCUGCCGCAAUGGGCGAAAGCCUUACGGAGCAACGCCGCGUGAGUGAUGAAGGUCUUCGGAUCGUAAAACUCUGUUAUUAGGGAAGAACAUAUGUGUAAGUAACUGUGCACAUCUUGACGGUACCUAAUCAGAAAGCCACGGCUAACUACGUG
rnacentral:rRNA from 1 species